GAUGAACGCUGGCGGCGUGCUUAACACAUGCAAGUCGAACGAAGCACUUAAUGAGAUUUCUUCGGAUUGAUUAUUUUGUGACUGAGUGGCGGACGGGUGAGUAACGCGUGGGUAACCUGCCCCAGACCGGGGGAUAACAGUCGGAAACGACUGCUAAUACCGCAUAAGCGCACAGUGCCGCAUGGCACGGUGUGAAAAACUCCGGUGGUCUGGGAUGGACCCGCGUCCGAUUAGUUAGUUGGUGGGGUAACGGCCCACCAAGACUGCGAUCGGUAGCCGACCUGAGAGGGUGACCGGCCACAUUGGGACUGAGACACGGCCCAGACUCCUACGGGAGGCAGCAGUGGGGAAUAUUGCACAAUGGGGGAAACCCUGAUGCAGCGACGCCGCGUGAGCGAAGAAGUAUUUCGGUAUGUAAAGCUCUAUCAGCAGGGAAGAAAAUGACGGUACCUGACUAAGAAGCCCCGGCUAACUACGUG
rnacentral:rRNA from 1 species